GACAGAGGUGCCAAGCGUUAGGCGGAAUCACUGGGCUUAAAGCGUGUGUAGGCGGGCGAUCAAGUCCCUUGUGAAAUCCCACGGCUCAACCGUGGAACUGCUGGGUAUACUGGUUGUCUUGAGCCAGCUAGGGGCGAGCGGAACAGACGGUGGAGCGGUGAAAUGCGUAGAUAUCGUGAGGAACACCAGAGGCGAAGGCGGCUACCUGGACAAUUGCUGACGCUCAGGCACGAAAGCGUGGGGAGCAAAAGGG
rnacentral:rRNA from 1 species